UUUAUGGAGAGUUUGAUCCUGGCUCAGAGUGAACGCUGGCGGCGUGCCUAAUACAUGCAAGUCGAACGAUGAAGCUUCUAGCUUGCUAGAAUGCUGAUUAGUGGCGCACGGGUGAGUAACGCAUAGGUCAUGCGCCUCUUAGUUUGGGAUAGCCAUUGGAAACGAUGAUUAAUACCAGAUACUCCCUACGGGGGAAAGAUUUAUCGCUAAGAGAUCAGCCUAUGUCCUAUCAGCUUGUUGGUAAGGUAAUGGCUUACCAAGGCUAUGACGGGUAUCCGGCCUGAGAGGGUGAACGGACACACUGGAACUGAGACACGGUCCAGACUCCUACGGGAGGCAGCAGUAGGGAAUAUUGCUCAAUGGGGGAAACCCUGAAGCAGCAACGCCGCGUGGAGGAUGAAGGUUUUAGGAUUGUAAACUCCUUUUGUUAGAGAAGAUAAUGACGGUAUCUAACGAAUAAGCACCGGCUAACUCCGUGCCAGCAGCCGCGGUAAUACGGAGGGUGCAAGCGUUACUCGGAAUCACUGGGCGUAAAGAGCGCGUAGGCGGGAUAGUCAGUCAGGUGUGAAAUCCUAUGGCUUAACCAUAGAACUGCAUUUGAAACUACUAUUCUAGAGUGUGGGAGAGGUAGGUGGAAUUCUUGGUGUAGGGGUAAAAUCCGUAGAGAUCAAGAGGAAUACUCAUUGCGAAGGCGACCUGCUGGAACAUUACUGACGCUGAUUGCGCGAAAGCGUGGGGAGCAAACAGGAUUAGAUACCCUGGUAGUCCACGCCCUAAACGAUGGAUGCUAGUUGUUGGAGGGCUUAGUCUCUCCAGUAAUGCAGCUAACGCAUUAAGCAUCCCGCCUGGGGAGUACGGUCGCAAGAUUAAAACUCAAAGGAAUAGACGGGGACCCGCACAAGCGGUGGAGCAUGUGGUUUAAUUCGAAGAUACACGAAGAACCUUACCUAGGCUUGACAUUGAGAGAAUCCGCUAGAAAUAGUGGAGUGUCUGGCUUGCCAGACCUUGAAAACAGGUGCUGCACGGCUGUCGUCAGCUCGUGUCGUGAGAUGUUGGGUUAAGUCCCGCAACGAGCGCAACCCCCUUUCUUAGUUGCUAACAGGUUAUGCUGAGAACUCUAAGGAUACUGCCUCCGUAAGGAGGAGGAAGGUGGGGACGACGUCAAGUCAUCAUGGCCCUUACGCCUAGGGCUACACACGUGCUACAAUGGGGUGCACAAAGAGAAGCAAUACUGCGAAGUGGAGCCAAUCUUCAAAACACCUCUCAGUUCGGAUUGUAGGCUGCAACUCGCCUGCAUGAAGCUGGAAUCGCUAGUAAUCGCAAAUCAGCCAUGUUGCGGUGAAUACGUUCCCGGGUCUUGUACUCACCGCCCGUCACACCAUGGGAGUUGUGUUUGCCUUAAGUCAGGAUGCUAAAUUGGCUACUGCCCACGGCACACACAGCGACUGGGGUGAAGUCGUAACAAGGUAACCGUAGGUGAACCUGCGGUUGGAUCACCUCCUUUCUAGA
rnacentral:rRNA from 1 species